CCCUAGUAACGGCGAGUGAAGCGGCAACAGCUCAAAUUUGAAAUCUGGCUUCGGCCCGAGUUGUAAUUUGCAGAGGAUGCUUCUGGCGCGGUGCCUUCCGAGUUCCCUGGAACGGGACGCCACAGAGGGUGAGAGCCCCGUAUGGUCGGACACCAAGCCUGUGUGAAGCUCCUUCGACGAGUCGAGUAGUUUGGGAAUGCUGCUCUAAAUGGGAGGUAAAUCUCUUCUAAAGCUAAAUACCGGCCAGAGACCGAUAGCGCACAAGUAGAGUGAUCGAAAGAUGAAAAGCACCUUGAAAAGGGGGUUAAAUAGUACGUGAAAUUGUUGAAAGGGAAGCACUUAUGACCAGACUUGGGCCGGGCGGCUCAUCAGGGGUUCUCCCCUGUGCACUCCGCCCGGCACAGGCCAGCAUCGGUUUUCGCGGGGGGAUAAGACCGAAGGGAACGUAGCACCCUCCGGGGUGUGUUAUAGCCCGGCGGACGAUACCCCCGCGGGGACCGAGGUUCGCGCUCCGCAAGGAUGCUGGCGUAAUGGUCAUCAGUGACCCGUCUUGAAACACGGACCAAGGAGUCGUCCAUUAGAGCGAGCGUUUGGGUGUAAAACCCGCACGCGUAAUGAAAGUGAACGCAGGUGAGAGCUUCGGCGCAUCAUCGACCGAUCCUGAUGUUCUCGGAAGGAUUUGAGUAAGAGUUUUAACGGACGGACCCGAAAGACAGUGAACUAUGCUUGUAUAGGGUGAAGCCAGAGGAAACUCUGGUGGAGGCUCGCAGCGGUUCUGACGUGCAAAUCGAUCGUCAAAUAUGAGCAUGGGGGCGAAAGACUAAUCGAACUGUCUAGUAGCUGGUUACCGCCGAAGU
rnacentral:rRNA from 1 species